rnacentral:rRNA from 1 species
UACGUAGGGUGCGAGCGUUAAUCGGAAUUACUGGGCGUAAAGCGUGCGCAGGCGGCUUUGUAAGACAGAUGUGAAAUCCCCGGGCUCAACCUGGGAACUGCAUUUGUGACUGCAAGGCUAGAGUGCGUCAGAGGGAGGUGGAAUUCCGCGUGUAGCAGUGAAAUGCGUAGAUAUGCGGAGGAACACCGAUGGCGAAGGCAAUCCCCUGGACCUGUACUGACGCUCAUGCACGAAAGCGUGGGGAGCAAACAGG